UGAGGCGAUGCACAGUUUCACCAGUUAGUUUCUUAUCAUGUGUCUUGAAGAUUGAAAACAUCAUUGUUCCAAAAUAUCCUUCACUAUUUAAAAAAUAUUCAGGAGAUCACAAGUACAAUGACAUGUGUAAAAAGCACGGGGCACUACCACCCUUGACUCAUACAUUUGCACUUCAGCAACAUGAAAAAACCGUAAAAGAUCAAGAAGGCGGUAGUCCAUCCCACCACAUCAUGCAAAAUUGCUAUUUUUUGAUAGUAUUUGAUGAUAUCUAAGGGCAUCUCCUCCAGAUUCAUCAAUAUUGUCGACAAAAUAAGUGUGAUAGGAGUGAUAUGAUCCACACCAGCCUUGCUGCAAAAAAGCGGAAAGAGUUUUACUUUCCAAAUACCAAGCCAUCUACACAAAGUCAAACUAAUAGACAAAUAACAAUAUAUUCGUACAUUGCAAUUCACCUUGCUAUUGUUGCUAUCUCAAUCAAAGAGUUUUUGUACAUGAUAGUAACCGUGCUCCUUAGGUUUCUUCUAUGCACGGUAUCAACCCUGUAAACAUCUGUCGCUCCUUGCUGCUCUAAAUGCUGAAGUUAAUCCCAUACUCAGCUCUAAUAUGCUUUCUGCAAGCCCUAUGAAUCUGUAUGUGUUGACAUAUAACUACAAGCUAAAACGGUACUCAGUCAAGUCACAUUAAGAUGCAAUUCAUUCUGCAAGAUUGUUUAGUGAACUGCUCCUAGCAGUCUAUUCUACAUUACAAGCAACCCUAAGGGAUCAAUAAGUCCACAGCCUAAAUAUAGCAUACACUACGAAGUUGGUUAACAAAAUAAGUAGAUACAGUUACUCACUCAAGAUCAAUAAAAUUCUCCUCAUGAUUCUCAGUAUGGAACACAUGAUAUCAGUAUCUUUACAAUACUGGUAGUCAG
rnacentral:lncRNA from 1 species